rnacentral:tRNA from 4 species
GGAUCGUUAGCUUAGUUGGUAGAGCAUCAGACUCUUAAUCUGAGGGUCCUGGGUUCGAGUCCCAGACGGUUCA